rnacentral:rRNA from 1 species
UAGAGUUUGAUCCUGGCUCAGGAUGAACGCUAGCUACAGGCUUAACACAUGCAAGUCGAGGGGCAGCAUGGUCUUAGCUUGCUAAGGCCGAUGGCGACCGGCGCACGGGUGAGUAACACGUAUCCAACCUGCCGUCUACUCUUGGACAGCCUUCUGAAAGGAAGAUUAAUACAAGAUGGCAUCAUGAGUUCACAUGUUCACAUGAUUAAAGGUAUUCCGGUAGACGAUGGGGAUGCGUUCCAUUAGAUAGUAGGCGGGGUAACGGCCCACCUAGUCUUCGAUGGAUAGGGGUUCUGAGAGGAAGGUCCCCCACAUUGGAACUGAGACACGGUCCAAACUCCUACGGGAGGCAGCAGUGAGGAAUAUUGGUCAAUGGGCGCAGGCCUGAACCAGCCAAGUAGCGUGAAGGAUGACCGCCCUAUGGGUUGUAAACUUCUUUUAUAAAGGAAUAAAGUCGGGUAUGUAUACCCGUUUGCAUGUACUUUAUGAAUAAGGAUCGGCUAACUCCGUGCCAGCAGCCGCGGUAAUACGGAGGAUCCGAGCGUUAUCCGGAUUUAUUGGGUUUAAAGGGAGCGUAGAUGGAUGUUUAAGUCAGUUGUGAAAGUUUGCGGCUCAACCGUAAAAUUGCAGUUGAUACUGGAUAUCUUGAGUGCAGUUGAGGCAGGCGGAAUUCGUGGUGUAGCGGUGAAAUGCUUAGAUAUCACGAAGAACUCCGAUUGCGAAGGCAGCCUGCUAAGCUGCAACUGACAUUGAGGCUCGAAAGUGUGGGUAUCAAACAGGAUUAGAUACCCUGGUAGUCCACACGGUAAACGAUGAAUACUCGCUGUUUGCGAUAUACAGCAAGCGGCC